CACGUAGGGCGCAAGCGUUGUCCGGAAUUAUUGGGCGUAAAGAGCUCGUAGGUGGUUUGUUACGUCUGCUGUGAAAUCCCGAGGCUCAACCUCGGGUCUGCAGUCGAUACGAGCAAACUAGAGUGUUGCAGGGGAGACUGGAAUUCCUGGUGUAGCGGUGAAAUGCGCAGAUAUCAGGAGGAACACCGGUGGCGAAGGCGGGUCUCUGGGCAACAACUGACGCUGAGGAGCGAAAGCGUGGGGAGCGAACAGG
rnacentral:rRNA from 1 species